CAGUCGAACGAUGAAGCCUUUCGGGGUGGAUUAGUGGCGAACGGGUGAGUAACACGUGGGCAAUCUGCCCUUCACUCUGGGACAAGCCCUGGAAACGGGGUCUAAUACCGGAUAACACUCUGUCCCGCAUGGGACGGGGUUAAAAGCUCCGGCGGUGAAGGAUGAGCCCGCGGCCUAUCAGCUUGUUGGUGGGGUAAUGGCCUACCAAGGCGACGACGGGUAGCCGGCCUGAGAGGGCGACCGGCCACACUGGGACUGAGACACGGCCCAGACUCCUACGGGAGGCAGCAGUGGGGAAUAUUGCACAAUGGGCGAAAGCCUGAUGCAGCGACGCCGCGUGAGGGAUGACGGCCUUCGGGUUGUAAACCUCUUUCAGCAGGGAAGAAGCGAAAGUGACGGUACCUGCAGAAGAAGCGCCGGCUAACUACGUGCCAGCAGCCGCGGUAAUACGUAGGGCGCAAGCGUUGUCCGGAAUUAUUGGGCGUAAAGAGCUCGUAGGCGGCUUGUCACGUCGGAUGUGAAAGCCCGGGGCUUAACCCCGGGUCUGCAUUCGAUACGGGCUAGCUAGAGUGUGGUAGGGGAGAUCGGAAUUCCUGGUGUAGCGGUGAAAUGCGCAGAUAUCAGGAGGAACACCGGUGGCGAAGGCGGAUCUCUGGGCCAUUACUGACGCUGAGGAGCGAAAGCGUGGGGAGCGAACAGGAUUAGAUACCCUGGUAGUCCACGCCGUAAACGUUGGGAA
rnacentral:rRNA from 1 species